GAUGUGAAAGGUAGCAUGCAGAACUCUAAAUAGGUGGAGUCAAUUGAGGAUAAAUGGGAUUCCAGUGGCUUGCAUGGAAGACUGGUUCACUGUAUUUAAUGGUGGUGUUCGAUGAGCAUACUUGUCAACAGUCCAGACACAAAACAAGUGCACCCAACUUGUUUGGACUGUGACUUCUCUGCUUGAGAUUGGCUGUUGUAUCAUGGUCAGGCUUGGUUUGCACUGAGCUUGGGUGCGACACUUGCUUGAAAAAAGCUGACAAAUUGUCAAUGCUGGAGCUCAACCUAGAUAACUUUUAGGCUCAAACCUGGUUCGAGAAUAGUUACUUGCAGCUGAUAUUUUCUACUUUCCCACAGCAGUUUGGGGAUGUGGCGGUAUUUGUUUUUCUUUCCGCCGUAUUCUGUGAUUUCUGUCCGUCUAUUUGCAUGUUAUUGAGAGUCCACAAACACUUGAGCAUGAAAUCAGCUGUUUACAUGUGAUUUUGGUCAUAUGACAUUUUUAUGAUUUUUUCCUUUUCAAAAUCUCAUUGUUUAACAAAAUAUUAUUUACUGAUUUGCUUCUAACAAACAGUUCAGUUCCUUACUUUUAUGGAUAGCAUCUUACACCCCACCAAGGUUUUCUAUGAACUUUGGUAGUAUGAAAUGUAUUGAAAUGAAAAUUUUGAUA